GCGCUCACUUUGGCAGCACAUAUACUAAAACUGUAAUAAUACAAAGGAGAUGAACAUGGCCCCUAAAUAAGGUGACAUGCAAAAUGCAGUGUUCUGUAAUUUA
ensembl:snRNA U6 U6 spliceosomal RNA